CAUCUGGCAGCUCCGGUAAAAAGGCACCGGGAGGCCCACGUUUACCGUCAAAAACGCAGACCGGAGAGGGAUAACGACUAAUACCUGCUUCUCACUCGCUGUAAUAAAUCAUGGUGUGGUUGAGAGAGGAAGAGAGAAAGCGACAGGACUGUGAUCUUUUGUCUGCUAAAAUCCUCGUCUCAGCUCCGAAUCUGAUCCGGUGAUGCUUUACGGACAGAUUUUAUCAAGCUGUCAUCCACAGAGACUUCUUCGCUUAACUUUCUUUUUUUAAUCACACCUCCAGCUUUGCUUAAUUAUUUCAUUUGAUAUUUCACAUGUUGUACUUGAAGGGUGGAAGCAUUGUAAUUUGGAAGGUAUAACAAAUAGCACAGGUUGGUAAAUCAGGGAGCCUGGCUGACAGUUCUUGCCUGUCAGCUUUUUUAAUUAUCACAUUAUCAGCUUUUAUAGGCACAGUGCGCGGUGCAGAGCUGCAAAUGAAGGCGCCACACAUUGCACGCUGAGUCGAAAGCAUUUCUCAAUUGAUGUCAGCAGUUAGAAAGGAUCCGUGUCUGGAUGAUGAGUGCGAGGUGAUGUGGUUAAGAGGACGGUAAUGGUGUGGUUAUACAACAGGAUUCUGUCCAACGUUUAAUUUAGAGUCACAUCUCGUGGGUUAGUUCUCUUUCAGAACCAAUAUACGAAGCAACUCUAAGUAACACCGACUCCGUAAUGAGCCCUGCGACAACUCUCGCUAUUUAUAUUACACCGCCUUCAACUGAGCUCCAUGUACAAUUAACUAAAUGCCAAACACAGAAGCUAAAUGAGGAAGUGCUUAUGUUGUGCCACAUACAAGUGCAAGCCAUUUAUUUUGAGUACUUGUGGAUACCCAAAUGAACACUUCAGUUGUUGUCAAUAAUAAUCUUGUUGUCAUGGUAUAAAGCUGUUUCCAAAAUGA